CGCGUAGGCGGCUCUGUAAGUCGGAUCUGAAAGCCCUGGGCUUAACCUGGGAAUUGCAUUCGAUACUGCAGAGCUAGAGUAUGGUAGAGGGAAGUGGAAUUUCCGGUGUAGCGGUGAAAUGCGUAGAUAUCGGAAGGAACACCAGUGGCGAAGGCGACUUCCUGGGCCAAUACUGACGCUGAGGUGCGAAAGCGUGGGGAGCAAACA
rnacentral:rRNA from 1 species